rnacentral:ncRNA from 1 species
AUACCCGUUGAUUCUGCGGGAGAUUGCUGCUAUUGGGAUUCGACUUAGCCAUGCAAGUCUUCUAGCAAUAGAGGCAGACUGCUCAGUAACACGUCGGUAAUCUACCCUAAGGUUGGGGAUAAUCUCGGGAAACUGAGUGUAAAACCCGAUAGGAAAUUUCUUCUGGAAUGAGAUAUUUCUCAAAAGUAAUGCCUUAGGAUGAGCUGGCGGCUGAUUAGGCUGUUGGUGAGGUAAUGGCUCACCAAACCUAUGAUCAGUAGGAGCCUUGAGAGAGGUAGCUCCGAGAAGGGCACUGAGAUACUGGCCCUAGCCCUAAGGGGUGCAGCAGGCGCGAAA